CGGCUACAAGAAGCGGGCCGCGUGCCUGUGUUUCCGCAGCGAGAGCGAGGAGGAGGUGCUACUUGUGAGCAGUAGUCGCCAUCCAGACCGAUGGAUUGUCCCUGGAGGAGGCAUGGAGCCGGAGGAGGAGCCAAGUGUGGCAGCAGUCCGUGAAGUCUGUGAGGAGGUAUGCCUUGAGAAGAAAGGGACAUUGGGAAGGUAGU